rnacentral:rRNA from 1 species
AGAGAUGUGUGAUGACGCAUAUCAAUAAGCGGAGGAAAAGAAACUAACAAGGAUUCCCUUAGUAACGGCGAGUGAAGCGGGAAGAGCUCAAAUUUGAAAUCUUCAAGGUUCUACCUUGACGAGUUGUAGUUUAUAGAAGUGUUUUCUGUUAGUAGAGUGGCAAAAGUUCUUUGGAAUAGGACAUCAUAGUGGGUGAGAAUCCCGUAUUUGGUCAUUCUUUCUAGCUUUGUGAUACACUUUCAACGAGUCGGAUUGUUUGGGAAUGCAGUCCAAAAUGGGUGGUAAAUUUCAUCUAAAGCUAAAUAUUGGCGAGAGACCGAUAGCGAACAAGUACCGUGAGGGAAAGAUGAAAAGAACUUUGAAAAGAGAGUUAAACAGUACGUGAAAUUGUCAAAAGGGAAGCGUUUGACACCAGUGUUGUUUUUCCGAAAAUCAAUUACGAAUGUUUUAGUUUUUAAGAAGUUAUGACUUCAUCGGCUUGCUUCUCUCUUUAUGAAACUUUCUUAAUGCACUUUUCGGUUAACAAGUCAACAUCAAUUUCUUUUGUUGUAAAAGGGUAUGAGGAAGGUGGCUUUCUUUUCGGAGAAAGUGUUUAUAGCCUUGUACCUCUGCAAUCGGAGAGAUUGAGGUCUGCAGCGUAGAUCCUUCGGGGUUAGAUACAUUUGUGCUAAGUUAUAGCUUUUCAUAGACAACUUGUUGACUAUGUUAAGUCUUGUAGCUUACUCGCUUAUGCUAUUUUACCUACGCUUAGGAUGUUGAAGAUGUAGCACAUCA